GUGGGGAAUUUUGGACAAUGGGCGAAAGCCUGAUCCAGCCAUGCCGCGUGCAGGAUGAAGGCCUUCGGGUUGUAAACUGCUUUUGUACGGAACGAAAAGACUCCUUCUAAUAAAGGGGGUCCAUGACGGUACCGUAAGAAUAAGCACCGGCUAACUACGUGCCAGCAGCCGCGGUAAUACGUAGGGUGCAAGCGUUAAUCGGAAUUACUGGGCGUAAAGCGUGCGCAGGCGGUUAUAUAAGACAGAUGUGAAAUCCCCGGGCUCAACCUGGGAACUGCAUUUGUGGCUGUAUAGCUAGAGUACGGUAGAGGGGGAUGGAAUUCCGCGUGUAGCAGUGAAAUGCGUAGAUAUGCGGAGGAACACCGAUGGCGAAGGCAAUCCCCUGGACCUGUACUGACGCUCAUGCACGAAAGCGUGGGGAGCAAACAGGAUUAGAAACCCCGGUAGUCC
rnacentral:rRNA from 1 species